UUAAAAGAACAUUUACAAGUUUCCUACACUCUGGCUGGGCUCAGUUCCACAGCAGCUGCAGUCUGGUGAGCCUAGCGCCGUCUUGCUGGUCCAUGCACAGUCCACCCACUGCAAAGAGCCCACUGGGAAACCCUCUGUGCAAUUGCCUUAUCUCCAGUGUCUUUCCCUAUAUAUUCCAACGCCUUAAGCUGGCAGGAGUUCUUGACAUCUGACUCCUCAACUCAGCGUGACUUCCUUGCUCUACUUGGACUCUGGAUCACUGUGCUGUGGUUAGACUAUCGUCCAGCUGGACUAGGUUACUGUGUACCCAACUUGGAUGCUUUUCUACUUCAAAAUACAGAUGAUUUUGACAAGCAGGACAACAGCAACUUGGACACACACUGAAAUGAACCACCAGGGGUUUCUCUGAAGAAGCAGAAUUAUUAUUUUGUGUGGAGAACAUUUCUCCCUGAGUCCCCUGAAUCAUCGAGCUUGGCCGUGUCUCAAUUCUUCUUUCAGCAAAAAUGGAGAAAAGGAAAAAAACUGGGAUGACUAGCUAAGCAAAACACAAGCUGCUUCAAGACUGAAGAAGCACAAAGGAUAUUUCAGGAGGGGCAGUCAACUGAAAGUUUGGAGUCAAAAGCUGUACAAUGAGGGGGAUUAAGUUAUGAAUAAGUUCACUCAUAAUCAGCAAUACUUUUUUGGACCAUUACAUCGAAUUAAGCUUGUUGGAUCAGAAAGGUUUGGGAAUUUCCAAGAGAAAAUAAAAUUACACCAGUCUUCCCCUU